CCUACGGGAGGCAGCAGUGGGGAAUAUUGGACAAUGGGGGGAACCCUGAUCCAGCCAUGCCGCGUGUGUGAAGAAGGCCCUCGGGUUGUAAAGCACUUUCAGUGAGGAAGAACGCCUGGUGGUUAAUACCCAUCAGGAAAGACAUCACUCACAGAAGAAGCACCGGCUAACUCCGUGCCAGCAGCCGCGGUAAUACGGAGGGUGCGAGCGUUAAUCGGAAUUACUGGGCGUAAAGCGCGCGUAGGUGGCUUGAUAAGCCGGUUGUGAAAGCCCCGGGCUCAACCUGGGAACGGCAUCCGGAACUGUCAAGCUAGAGUGCAGGAGAGGAAGGUAGAAUUCCCGGUGUAGCGGUGAAAUGCGUAGAGAUCGGGAGGAAUACCAGUAGCGAAGGCGGCCUUCUGGACUGACACUGACACUGAGGUGCGAAAGCGUGGGUAGCAAACAGGAUUAGAUACCCUGGUAGUC
rnacentral:rRNA from 1 species